UACGGGGGGGGCAAGCGUUGUUCGGAAUUACUGGGCGUAAAGGGCUCGUAGGCGGCCAACUAAGUCAGACGUGAAAUCCCUCGGCUUAACCGGGGAACUGCAUCUGAUACUGGAUGGCUUGAGUUCGGGAGAGGGAUGCGGAAUUCCUGGUGGAGCGGUGAAAUGCGCAGAUAUCAGGAGGAACACCCGUAGCGAAGGCGGCACUCUGGGCCGAUACUGACACUGAGGAGCGAAAGCGUGGGGAGCGAACAGG
rnacentral:rRNA from 1 species